UACGGGGGGGGCAAGCGUUGUUCGGAAUUACUGGGCGUGAAGGGCUCGUAGGCGGCCUGCUAAGUCGGAUGUGAAAUCCCUCGGCUCAACCGAGGAACUGCAUCCGAUACUGGCGGGCUUGAAUCCGGGAGAGGGAUGUGGAAUUCCAGGUGUAGCGGUGAAAUGCGUAGAUAUCAGGAGGAACACCGGUGGCGAAGGCGGGUCUCUGGGCCGAUACUGACGCUGAGGAGCGAAAGCGUGGGGAGCGAACAGG
rnacentral:rRNA from 1 species